UACGUAGGGCGCGAGCGUUGUCCGGAAUUAUUGGGCGUAAAGAGCUCGUAGGCGGCCUGUUGCGUCCGCUGUGAAAUCCCGGGGCUCAACCCUGGGCGUGCAGUGGAUACGGGCAGGCUGGAGGCAGGCAGGGGAGAACGGAAUUCCCGGUGUGGCGGUGAAAUGCGCAGAUAUCGGGGGGAACACCGGUGGCGAAGGCGGUUCUCUGGGCCUGUGCUGACGCUGAGGAGCGAAAGCGUGGGGAGCGAACAGG
rnacentral:rRNA from 1 species